AUUGAACGCUGGCGGCAGGCCUAACACAUGCAAGUCGAACGGUAACAGGAAGCAGCUUGCUGCUUUGCUGACGAGUGGCGGACGGGUGUGUAAUGUCUGGGAAACUGCCCGAUGGAGGGGGAUAACUACUGGAAACGGUAGCUAAUACCGCAUAACGUCGCAAGACCAAAGAGGGGGACCUUAGGGCCUCUUGCCAUCGGAUGUGCCCAGAUGGGAUUAGCUAGUAGGUGGGGUAACGGCUCACCUAGGCGACGAUCCCUAGCUGGUCUGAGAGGAUGACCAGCCACACUGGAACUGAGACACGGUCCAGACUCCUACGGGAGGCAGCAGUGGGGAAUAUUGCACAAUGGGCGCAAGCCUGAUGCAGCCAUGCCGCGUGUAUGAAGAAGGCCUUCGGGUUGUAAAGUACUUUCAGCGGGGAGGAAGGGAGUAAAGUUAAUACCUUUGCUCAUUGACGUUACCCGCAGAAGAAGCACCGGCUAACUCCGUG
rnacentral:rRNA from 1 species